GGUUAAGCGACUAAGCGUACACGGUGGAUGCCCUGGCAGUCAGAGGCGAUGAAGGACGUGCUAAUCUGCGAAAAGCGUCGGUAAGGUGAUAUGAACCGUUACAGCCGGCGAUGUCCGAAUGGGGAAACCCAGUGCAAUUCGUUGCACUAUCGUUAACUGAAUACAUAGGUUAACGAGGCGAACCGGGGGAACUGAAACAUCUAAGUACCCCGAGGAAAAGAAAUCAACCGAGAUUCCCCCAGUAGCGGCGAGCGAACGGGGAGCAGCCCGGAGUCUGAAUCAGCUUGUGUGUUAGUGGAAGCGUCUGGAAAGUCGCAGGGUACAGGGUGAUACUCCCGUACACUAAAACACACAGGCUGUGAACUCGAAGAGUAGGGCGGGACACGUGGUAUCCUGUCUGAAUAUGGGGGGACCAUCCUCCAAGGCUAAAUACUCCUGACUGACCGAUAGUGAACCAGUACCGUGAGGGAAAGGCGAAAAGAACCCCGGCGAGGGGAGUGAAAAAGAACCUGAAACCGUGUACGUACAAGCAGUAGGAGCCCACUAGUUGGGUGACUGCGUACCUUUUGUAUAAUGGGUCAGCGACUUAUAUUCUGUAGCAAGGUUAACCGUAUAGGGGAGCCGCAGGGAAACCGAGUCUUAACUGGGCGUUAAGUUGCAGGGUAUAGACCCGAAACCCGGUGAUCUAGCCAUGGGCAGGUUGAAGGUUGGGUAACACUAACUGGAGGACCGAACCGACUAAUGUUGAAAAAUUAGCGGAUGACUUGUGGCUGGGGGUGAAAGGCCAAUCAAACCGGGAGAUAGCUGGUUCUCCCCGAAAGCUAUUUAGGUAGCGCCUCGUGAACUCAUCUUCGGGGGUAGAGCACUGUUUCGGCUAGGGGGUCAUCCCGACUUACCAACCCGAUGCAAACUACGAAUACCGAAGAAUGUUAUCACGGGAGACACACGGCGGGUGCUAACGUCCGUCGUGAAGAGGGAAACAACCCAGACCGCCAGCUAAGGUCCCAAAGUCAUGGUUAAGUGGGAAACGAUGUGGGAAGGCCCAGACAGCCAGGAUGUUGGCUUAGAAGCAGCCAUCAUUUAAAGAAAGCGUAAUAGCUCACUGGUCGAGUCGGCCUGCGCGGAAGAUGUAACGGGGCUAAACCAUGCACCGAAGCUGCGGCAGCGACACUAUGUGUUGUUGGGUAGGGGAGCGUUCUGUAAGCCGUUGAAGGUGGCCUGUGAGGGUUGCUGGAGGUAUCAGAAGUGCGAAUGCUGACAUAAGUAACGAUAAUGCGGGUGAAAAACCCGCACGCCGGAAGACCAAGGGUUCCUGUCCAACGUUAAUCGGGGCAGGGUGAGUCGACCCCUAAGGCGAGGCCGAAAGGCGUAGUCGAUGGGAAACAGGUUAAUAUUCCUGUACUUGGUGUUACUGCGAAGGGGGGACGGAGAAGGCUAUGUUGGCCGGGCGACGGUUGUCCCGGUUUAAGCAUGUAGGCGGAUGUUCCAGGUAAAUCCGGAACGUUACUAACGCUGAGGUGUGAUGACGAGGCACUACGGUGCUGAAGUGACAAAUGCCCUGCUUCCAGGAAAAGCCUCUAAGCAUCAGGUAACAUCAAAUCGUACCCCAAACCGACACAGGUGGUCAGGUAGAGAAUACCAAGGCGCUUGAGAGAACUCGGGUGAAGGAACUAGGCAAAAUGGUGCCGUAACUUCGGGAGAAGGCACGCUGAUGGUAAGUGAAGUGACUUGCUCAUGGAGCUGAAAUCAGUCGAAGAUACCAGCUGGCUGCAACUGUUUAUUAAAAACACAGCACUGUGCAAACACGAAAGUGGACGUAUACGGUGUGACGCCUGCCCGGUGCCGGAAGGUUAAUUGAUGGGGUUAUCCUCACGGAGAAGCUCUUGAUCGAAGCCCCGGUAAACGGCGGCCGUAACUAUAACGGUCCUAAGGUAGCGAAAUUCCUUGUCGGGUAAGUUCCGACCUGCACGAAUGGCGUAAUGAUGGCCAGGCUGUCUCCACCCGAGACUCAGUGAAAUUGAACUCGCUGUGAAGAUGCAGUGUACCCGCGGCAAGACGGAAAGACCCCGUGAACCUUUACUAUAGCUUGACACUGAACACUGGUCCUUGAUGUGUAGGAUAGGUGGGAGGCUUUGAAGUGUGGACGCCAGUCUGCAUGGAGCCAUCCUUGAAAUACCACCCUUUAAUGGCUGGUGUUCUAACGUGGGCCCGUGAUCCGGGUUGCGGACAGUGUCUGGUGGGUAGUUUGACUGGGGCGGUCUCCUCCUAAAGAGUAACGGAGGAGCACGAAGGUCAGCUAAUCCUGGUCGGACAUCAGGAGGUUAGUGCAAUGGCAUAAGCUGGCUUGACUGCGAGCGUGACGGCGCGAGCAGGUGCGAAAGCAGGUCAUAGUGAUCCGGUGGUUCUGAAUGGAAGGGCCAUCGCUCAACGGAUAAAAGGUACUCCGGGGAUAACAGGCUGAUACCGCCCAAGAGUUCAUAUCGACGGCGGUGUUUGGCACCUCGAUGUCGGCUCAUCACAUCCUGGGGCUGAAGUAGGUCCCAAGGGUAUGGCUGUUCGCCAUUUAAAGUGGUACGCGAGCUGGGUUUAGAACGUCGUGAGACAGUUCGGUCCCUAUCUGCCGUGGGCGCUGGAGAAUUGAGGGGGGCUGCUCCUAGUACGAGAGGACCGGAGUGGACGCAUCACUGGUGUUCGGGUUGUCAUGCCAAUGGCAUUGCCCGGUAGCUAAAUGCGGAAGAGAUAAGUGCUGAAAGCAUCUAAGCACGAAACUUGCCCCGAGAUGAGUUCUCCCUGACUCCUUGAGAGUCCUGAAGGAACGUUGAAGACGACGACGUUGAUAGGCCGGGUGUGUAAGCGCAGCGAUGCGUUGAGCUAACCGGUACUAAUGAACCGUGAGGCUUAACCUU
rnacentral:rRNA from 1 species